UAGAGACAUAUGAGGUCGCGCGAUAUCCAAUAGGACGAGUCUAACGUGGUCACGUGAUUCAGACGUCACUAAUGGUGGCUAGUUACGCCGCUGUGCUUAAUUGAAGUUUGUUUCUAACAGAGAAGGAGAUAUUUAGCAAAGUACGGAAAGACAUUUUUUUGUUAUACACAUGCAAAUCGGAGACCAAAAGCGAAGAGAAAGAGGAAAGCAAACAAAAUGAGUUUGAGGUUGUGUGCGGCUCUGACGUCACAAAGAGACGGUAAAGACUUGAAGCGAGGCCAGCGGCCAGAAGAAAAACGGAUGUUCUGGACAGACCGUGAAGUUUAGGUCUCCUGUGAACGAGCGCAUCGAUAAGCGAGGGAGUUGUAGCUGCACUUCCAGAAAAACGAAUCAACAUCCGACCAAUCAGAAUCGAGAAUUAUGAACGAUGGCUGUUCGAAGCAAGGCGAUGGAAGAAAAAGCGAGGAAAAAAAAAAAGACGACGUAUCCACGUAUUCUGCGGUACAGAAGGUCCAGCUCAGCGUUCAUCAACCACAUCCACACCAGGUUUCAAGAAGUCUUUUAUUGUGUUUAAAGCUUACGUUAUCCGUACAUCUCUGCGUGUCAUACAGGCUAUAAGAACCAAAAAAAAAAAAACCAUUCCCGGACAGAUGGAAUUUGUGAUCCAUCAACAUUCAUCAGGCUCCAGCUGUAACGUUUAAAAAGCAGCUCAAAACACGUCCCUUCACUUUAGCGCUUAAUUUAUUUAUUUAUUUAUUUAUUUUCAAAAUAGUUGGAGUUAUUUUCUUUUUUUAACUCAAAGUGAAACUGAUCUGGUAAAUUAAAGUUUAGUAUAUUUACUUAUUUGUAUAAUGCGUGUUUGAUAGAUACUGUAAAGCACUAUAUUUGAGCUGCGUUAUAAAUGCAUGAGAUGCACUAUAUAAAAUUAUUAAUGAGAACAACUGUAAGAAGGAAAAAAAAAAGACAAACAAACCCCUCUAGUUUUGGAACUUUUAAAGUGUGCUGAAGUCCUGCACAGGAAACCGUUUUUAAGGCUUAAAGAGAACCACAGACAUUAGAGAUGUGAUGAGUUUGGCUCGUGAUGUAAACAAACUGAUAACGGCGACGUUUUAUAAACGUGGAAGAAGUUAUUCCGUCACGAGGAAACCACUCGUUAACGAGAUCUAUUCAGAACGACGACGCGAUUCGAACUACGCUCACAGCAAGACUACCUCAGUCGUUCUAAAGUAAUCCCUAAACCUUCGUAAGGUUCGAUCACAGUAUGUCAAACAAUCCGAACAGAGAGGAAAAAAUAUAUACAUAUACACACACAGAGACUGUUCCCAAAGUGCAACCACACCAAAAAUAUCCUCAGCUUCUUCUUCUUUUCUUCCUCCUCAGAUAAAUGUCCUACUGAAAAGACCAGGACUCCUCAUAACGAUUAAUCCAGGAAGCAAAGCAGGAUCCAGAACAUUCAAAAAAGAAAAGCGAUUGUCUAACACGUUAACAGAAGUAAUAGUUUCGUGCAAAAAAAGGAGGAUAAACGUACACGAUUUUUCACUUGUACCAAAUGUAGCUGAUUAGCGAAGACGUGUUUAGUGUUGGACGUUUGGGUCGUUAGUUUGGAACCUGAGCUGCAAGGAUAAUGUAGCGAACAAGUAAUACAAGUUACAAUACGAUACGGUUUAGCUGAAUUGGCAAUGAAACAAAAACGCGUUUCCAGCUAUAAACACACGGG